AUUGAACGCUGGUGGCAGGCCUAACACAUGCAAGUCGAGCGGAUGAAGGGAGCUUGCUCCUGGAUUCAGCGGCGGACGGGUGAGUAAUGCCUAGGAAUCUGCCUGGUAUUGGGGGAUAACGUCCGGAAACGGGCGCUAAUACCGCAUACGUCCUGAGGGAGAAAGUGGGGGAUCUUCGGACCUCACGCUAUCAGAUGAGCCUAGGUCGGAUUAGCUAGUUGGUGGGGUAAAGGCCUACCAAGGCGACGAUCCGUAACUGGUCUGAGAGGAUGAUCAGUCACACUGGAACUGAGACACGGUCCAGACUCCUACGGGAGGCAGCAGUGGGGAAUAUUGGACAGUGGGCGAAAGCCUGAUCCAGCCAUGCCGCGUGUGUGAAGAAGGUCUUCGGAUUGUAAAGCACUUUAAGUUGGGAGGAAGGGCAGUAAGUUAAUACCUUGCUGUUUUGACGUUACCAACAGAAUAAGCACCGGCUAACUUCGUG
rnacentral:rRNA from 1 species